AGUGAAGCGGGAUGAGCUCAAAUUUAAAAUCUGGCUGGUUUACUAGUCCGAAUUGUAGUUUAUAGAAGCGUUUUCGGUGGCAGCCUGGGUAUAAAUCCUUUGGAAUAGGGUAUCAUAGAGGGUGAGAAUCCCGUCUUUGACUCAGUGCAUGCUACUAUGUGAUACGUUUUCAAAGAGUCGAGUUGUUUGGGAAUGCAGCUCAAAAUGGGUGGUAAAUUUCAUCUAAAGCUAAAUAUUGGCGAGAGACCGAUAGCGAACAAGUACCGUGAGGGAAAGAUGAAAAGAACUUUGAAAAGAGAGUUAAACAGUGCGUGAAAUUGUUGAAAGGGAAACGCUUGACACCAGUCAUGCGAGUGGAAAAUCAGUCUUUUGCAAUGGGGAGUUGUGGGCGUUCAGACCGCAAGGCUGGCGUUUGCUUCAUCUUUGUUGUAAGUGAUGCACUUUUUCAUUUGCAGGUCAACAUCAGUUUGCUUUGCUGGACAAAACCCCAAGGGAAGGUGGCAGCUUAGGCUGUGUUAUAGCCCUGGGGCGAUACAGUGGAGUGGACUGAGGUUUUCGCAGUGUGUGCUCUCUGGGCAAGGCUGACUGGGUGCUAUGGGAUCGUUCGACGUACAAUGCAUGCAUUUUGCGCCGUGUCUUUUUCAUACUCGCUCAACUCGGCUCU
rnacentral:rRNA from 2 species